rnacentral:rRNA from 1 species
UACAGAGGUCUCAAGCGUUGUUCGGAAUCACUGGGCGUAAAGGGUGCGUAGGCGGCUUGGAAAGUCAGAUGUGAAAUCCGGAGGCUCAACCUCCGAAUUGCAUCCGAUACUCCCUCGCUAGAGAUUUGUAGAGGAGCUUGGAAUUCUCGGUGUAGCAGUGAAAUGCGUAGAUAUCGAGAAGAACGCUCGCAGCGAAGGCGAAGCUCUGGGCAAAUUCUGACGCUGAUGCACGAAGGCUAGGGGAGCAAACGGG